rnacentral:antisense_RNA from 2 species
UGUCGCGGCAGCUGUACGCGGGAUACUUUCGGGUAUGCCGGUUUUGUUCUUUGGGCCGGUCGGUCAACCCGCGUACAGCUGCCACCCUC